CCUACGGGUGGCAGCAGUGGGGAAUAUUGCACAAUGGGGGGAACCCUGAUGCAGCGACGCCGCGUGAGUGAAGAAGUAUUUCGGUAUGUAAAGCUCUAUCAGCAGGGAAGAAAAUGACGGUACCUGACUAAGAAGCCCCGGCUAACUACGUGCCAGCAGCCGCGGUAAUACGUAGGGGGCAAGCGUUAUCCGGAUUUACUGGGUGUAAAGGGAGCGCAGACGGCUGUGCAAGUCUGGAGUGAAAGGCGGGGGGCCCAACCCCCGGACUGCUCUGGAAACUGUAAAGCUGGAGUGCAGGAGAGGUAAGCGGAAUUCCUAGUGUAGCGGUGAAAUGCGUAGAUAUUAGGAGGAACACCAGUGGCGAAGGCGGCUUACUGGACUGCAACUGACGUUGAGGCUCGAAAGCGUGGGGAGCAAACAGGAUUAGAUACCCUUGUAGUC
rnacentral:rRNA from 1 species